UCUCCGCGGCAAUAACGCGCCUUCUGAUUGGUCGCUCGUUGCCAUAGUUCCCCCUCGGCGGCAAUAACACGUCUCCUGAUUGGUUGGUUUGGGCCGACUGUUGGAGUACAGCUACCUGCUAGGCGCGCGGACAACCCGGCUCUAGCCACUACGCAUGCUCCCCAGCUGGGCCGGCUGCGGAUGCGGGAAGGCAGGUGGUGACUGACGGAGCUGGGUGAAGCAGCCCCAUUUGAAGCACUCGUUUCCUGUGGCCACGAUGGUGUGUCUGCCUGCACCACCAUAAGUAACCUCUGCCCUGCAACCUCGCCUCCUCCUGCUGAAGAAUUGACUGAUUUCCUUGGAAACCACAUGUGCUGCAUUAACCAGAAGGAACUUGGGGUGGACAGUUAGGCUCCUGAAGUCCUCGCCCUAUUUUUGCUGUCAACAUUUCAAGUGAUUCUGGACAAACACUUACCCUCUCUAAGUCUCUGCUUCCUCUGUUCUGAAAUGAAAGACUGGGCCAAGUACUCUCUAAGGCCUCUCUAACUCUAAAUGGCUUCACUUCCUCCCCUUACGCACCUUCUCUCGACUGGACUGAACUUUGAGGACUAUAUGGUCCCACUUAGAACCAGUUUCCCAGACUUUUAGAUGACAUCUACAACCACACAACCCAAAAGAAAACCUAAGAGUGGGUUUAAGGGAAUCUAAACUGGUUAAUGAAGAGAUGACUGGUCUCAUGCAGAAGCUGUGGGCUCCCUUAAAUGGCCCUAGGAAACCACUUGAGAAAUUUGCAGAAAUAGCAGCUCACAGAGCCAACUUGGCCUUCAUGGAAGUUGAAGUGAUGUUUUACAUCGUUGGAUGAUAUCAAGAUGUAAAGCUUUUAGCCCAGAGGCUUCGGAGAGGAUGCUGUGGAAUACGACUCUACCUCCUGUGCCUCGUCCUUGAACCUUAUCAGCUCAAGUCUGCUGGACUUUGUCUCAUCCUGUUUGGAUGGGCAGGAUCCACUUCAGUGGGGCUGGUUGGAGAGGAUGGUUGGUUGUGUUUUCUUUUUCUUUUUAAACCAACCUUCCUUCCUUCUUUUUUUCCUUUUUUCCUUCCUUCCUUCCCUCCUUCCUCCCUCCCCUCCCUCUUUCCCUCCCUCUCUUCUUUCUUCCUUCCUUCCUUCCCUCCUUCCUUCCUUUCUUCCCUCCCUCCCUCCUCUCUCUCUUUCCUUCUCUCUCCCUCACUUCCUUCCUUCCUUCCUUCUUUCCUUCCUUCCUUCCAUCCAUCUAUCCUUCCUUCCUUCCUCCCUCCCUCCUUCCUUCCUUUGUUCUCUUUCACUUUUUCUCUCUCUCUCUUUCAAGAUAGGGUCUCAUUAUGUUGCCCAGGCUUGUCUUGAACUCCAGGCCUCAAAAUAUCCACCCACUUUGGCCUCCCACAGCUCUGGGAUUAUAGGCAUGAAUCACCAUGCCUGCCCAGGGGAUGAUUCUUUGUAACUGCAGCUGAGUCCAGAUUGUCAACAGAUAGGGAUCAGAACUGGAGGCUUGGGACCACUGGGAGCAGGAUCCGUGUGUCCUCAGAGCCGAGGUCCUAGAGCAGCUUCCCUUCCCCUGGGUCCCAGGCAUGCUCACUGAUGGUGGCCCUGGGAGUCACUGUCCCCAGCUAAGAGGGCUUGACAGCAAAGGUCCCAUGCCUUCAUUCAUCAUUUCCAUGACAGAACUUUGGAUGGGGAAAGAGGGACAGAGCCCUAGGGACCCAACACCCCUUGUUAUUCCGGUUAAAUCCUCCCUGCAACAUUCACAGCUCCUGACCCACUACAGUGACCCCUGGGCCUUGUUAGCCCAGGGUUGGGGAUAUGUGCCUCCACCUCUCCUCCUACAGGUGGACUUGUGUCUCUGAGUAGAUUUGGUGAUAUUUUUUAGAUGGAGAGAGAGGGGGGAGGAAGGACUACGUUGUACUUGAGGCACAUGAACUAAGGCCUGAUCCCAGUUGCAGCUUCAGAAACACCCAGGAAAUCCUUGAGCAGUGAAGGUUGUCUCCAAAAGGUGUCAGAGUGCUUCCUAGAGUCCAUCUCAUGCCGUCCAGGCCGCAUUCCCUGCUCCUUCCUGUAUACUCUGGGUAUUCACACGUUGCCUAAAUGAAAGCAUGUUCAUGGUCACUAGUCUUUCAUGUGUCAGGAGUAAAAGGCACCAGAAUGAAGGCUUUUCUAAAAGUACACAUGGGUGGGAGGUGGGGAGGGUCCUACUGAAUUUCUGGGACUGUGAGCCCAGGCACAGUAUUUUGGAGAAAAACAAAAUCUGCCCAGGUGACUCUGAUCUUUAGCCAGGAUUGAAAUCCACUGAAGAAAACAAGUGAUUCAGCCAGCAAUCUUCUGUCCUUGGCUUCACCAGUCUCCAUCGCCUAACAAAUUUUGUUUUACACUGGAUCAAUUUUCCAACGUGCUGUAUCCCGGUGGCCGCUAUGGCAGAAUCCUCGAAGGAAUCCCAUCGUUCACUGCACCUCAUUUCAAAGCGAUUUAACAGCACAACCAAAGCAAUAAUGAAAAGACCCUCCCUGUUUUUUUAUGGAAGCUGUUGUGAGUUAUCCUGGUUUCAUUGGUACCUGCUGGCAAGCAUCUCAAGUGGGCACUCCAGAAAGGAAAUUGUGUACCAGCCAAGAUGUAGCAAGCACUUGGGGCUGGCACAUUCGUGAUUUGCGAUUGUGCUUUUUUUGUGCCAACCCACGUUCCCCUCUUCCAAGUAAAGACUCUGUUACAGAGAUUUCCCUGGGGUGCCACAGAGUGGUAUGUGGCUGCAACACUAAUCCCAUGCCUUGAUUUCACUGCGGACGAAGUAUGGGGCUACGGGAGGCAAAAUACUAUGAAGCGGAAGUCACUGAUACAUGAAGAGCCUUUCCAUCCUGAAAAAGAGAGUCCUCUCACUCAUUCUGUCUUUCGGGAAUUUAUUUGGAAAGAACAUAGGCUUUGGAACCAGAGAGAUGGAAUUUGAAUCUCCCCUCUGCUACUUAGACGUGGGUGACCUUGGGCAAGUUACUUAACCCUUAAUAGCAGGCAUUUUUUCUUCUCUAAUAGUGGUUCUGCGGAUUGAAUGAGGUAAUUAAGGAAAGCUUCCCCACACAGAAAGGGGCCUGUUAGUCCCUUUCAUCUGUGCUACUAAUCUCUUAAAAUGGAGUUGACUUUUUAACCUCAGUGUGACUUAACUUUCCUUAGAUCAUUGAUGAGGAUGGUCAAGGAAUGCAAGUUCUGAUUUGGGAACAAACUCUGGACGUUACAGGCUGGCCUGAGCAGGGUGCUGACCCCAGCAAGCCCUAUGGGGCCGCACAAGGGAGAUGGAAGGAGGAGUCUCAUAAAGGGCCAGAGAGAGGGACUGGGAAACCACUCUGGCUUUGCAGUUUUGAGUGGGCACCUCUUUACAGGCAGCAGUCUGUCAACAACUGUGGCAUCCAGCUGGUCAGAAAGACUCGAGGAUUUGACAUUUUGUGGCUGUUCUCUAGAACCAAAGAAAUGAGAACCUCUUGAUGGCCUCCCUCUCUGCGACUGGUUCCUUAUCGAGGCAAUGGAAAUGUGGACUGCGGUGACUCUGAUCAAGCCUCACGUAUCUAUUGAAUCAGGAAGCCCGAAGGCCUGAGGCCUCCCGAGUGGCCCCAAGGGAGCGUCGUGCAUUUUUCUGGGCCCGAUGACGAUGCUAGCCUGGCGGGGGACUUGGCUGACCCGGCCUCCGCACAGGUGGACUAGUUCACAGAGCUUGGCCACUGGGGGGCUGCUGGCAGCAUAAUAAAUACCGAGCCUCAGCAGCUUUCAUGUGACUUGCAGGAGACAGUGGCAGCAGGGGCAAAUGGUUCUUCCUGGAUGGUGACUUUAACAAAGACUUCUUCUGGGGGGCACCGACCUCCCCCUGGCCAUGUGUUCAAGCCCAAGGAGAAGUCCCAGGAUUGGUCCGAGCUAAUCACGGUGAUCGCAAUGCAAAUGACUGCGCUAAGCAUGGCACAGCUGGCCUCAAUCCUGGCCAAUGCAACCUGAGAAUCAAUCGCUGGUGGGAUGCUGGGGGAGUUUUUCUCACUAUUAUAAACAGAUGCAUAAGCAGAAAUACUUCUCUUUGCUGGACACUGUCAUGUCUAAUGCGACACCUGGAUCACUGAAGCCCCCAGAGGCCACGGGACACGCUGAAAAUGGCCCAGUGGGAAGGCGGAAAGCCCUGGGUCCUGAAAAACACUUUUAAGUCACUGAUGGACCAAACUGAAAUCACCCUUUAUUUUGUUCUUUUUAUGUCAGGAAAAAAAACCCUAAAUUCUUUAAGUGACUUUUUUGUUAAGUUUUUGUUUCUAGAAGCCCAGAGUAUCCUAAUAAAAAUAAUUUUAAAUAAUCCA